rnacentral:rRNA from 1 species
UACGUAGGGACCAAGCGUUGUCCGGAAUCAUUGGGCGUAAAGCGCGCGUAGGUGGCCAUUUAAGUCCGCUGUGAAAGUCAGAGGCUCAACCUUUGAAAGCCGGUGGAUACUGGAUGGCUAGAGUACGGAAGAGGCGAGUGGAAUUCCUGGUGUAGCGGUGGAAUGCGCAGAUAUCGGGAAGAACACCCGUGGCGAAGGCGGCACUCUGGGACGGUACUGACGCUGAGACGCGAAAGCGUGGGGAGCGAACAGG